AGCGAACGCUGGCGGCAGGCUUAACACAUGCAAGUCGAGCGGACCUUUCGGGGUCAGCGGCGGACGGGUGAGUAACGCGUGGGAACGUGCCUUCCGGUUCGGAAUAACCCUGGGAAACUAGGGCUAAUACCGGAUACGCCCUUAUGGGGAAAGGUUUACUGCCGGAAGAUCGGCCCGCGUCUGAUUAGCUAGUUGGUGGGGUAACGGCCUACCAAGGCGACGAUCAGUAGCUGGUCUGAGAGGAUGAUCAGCCACACUGGGACUGAGACACGGCCCAGACUCCUACGGGAGGCAGCAGUGGGGAAUAUUGGACAAUGGGCGCAAGCCUGAUCCAGCCAUGCCGCGUGAGUGAUGAAGGCCUUAGGGUUGUAAAGCUCUUUUAUCCGGGACGAUAAUGACGGUACCGGAGGAAUAAGCCCCGGCUAACUUCGUGCCAGCCGCCGCCGUAA
rnacentral:rRNA from 1 species